rnacentral:tRNA from 1 species
ACCUGGAUGGCUGAGUUGGUUGAGUGUCUGACUUCGGCUCAGAUCAUGAUCUCACAGUUUGUGGGUUCAAACCCCACGUCGGGCC